rnacentral:rRNA from 1 species
UCGUGGGGCAGCAUGACUGUAGCAAUACAGUUGAUGGCGACCGGCAAACGGGUGCGGAACACGUACACAACCUUCCUUUUAGUGGAGAAUAGCCCAGGGAAACUUGGAUUAAUACUCCGUAACAUAUAGAAGUGGCAUCACUUUUAUAUUAUAGCAGCAAUGCGCUAGAAGAUGGGUGUGCGGCUGAUUAGAUAGUUGGCGGGGUAACGGCCCACCAAGUCGACGAUCAGUAACUGGUGUGAGAGCACGACCAGUCACACGGGCACUGAGACACGGGCCCGACUCCUACGGGAGGCAGCAGUAAGGAAUAUUGGUCAAUGGACGCAAGUCUGAACCAGCCAUGCCGCGUGGAGGAUGAAGGUCCUCUGGAUUGUAAACUUCUUUUAUCUGGGAAGAAAUCCAUUUUUUCUAAAAUGGUUGACGGUACCAGAUGAAUAAGCACCGGCUAACUCCGUGCCAGCAGCCGCGGUAAUACGGAGGGUGCAAGCGUUAUCCGGAUUCACUGGGUUUAAAGGGUGCGUAGGUGGGCAAGUAAGUCAGUGGUGAAAUCUCCGGGCUUAACCCGGAAACUGCCAUUGAUACUAUUUGUCUUGAAUACUGUGGAGGUCAGCGGAAUAUGUCAUGUAGCGGUGAAAUGCUUAGAUAUGACAUAGAACACCAAUUGCGAAGGCAGCUGGCUACACAAAUAUUGACACUGAGGCACGAAAGCGUGGGGAUCAAACAGGAUUAGAUACCCUGGUAGUCCACGCCCUAAACUAUGGAUACUCGACAUUUGCGAUAAACUGCAGUGUCUGAGCGAAAGCAUUAAGUAU